GGACGACUCUCUACAACGGAUAUCUCGGCUCUCACAUUGAUGAAGAACAAAGCGAAAUGCAAUACUUGGUGUGAAUUGCAGAAUCCUGUGAACCAUUAAGUCUUUGAAAGCAAGUUGCACCCGAGGCCACCCAGCCGAGGGCACGCCUGCUUGGGCAUCACGCACCGUGCUGCCCGCCACCGGCCUCGGCUGAGGCCAGAGAUUGGCCGACCGUGCUCCUUGGGGUAAGGCGGGAUGAAAGUUAUACCUUGAUUGCCCCUGGUGGGGCGUCGGCAUGGCGUUGGGUGGUCACUAGGGCCCUACAAGCUGAUGCGAUCGAACGCCGUGUACAUCGCUCCUGGGGCACCAAGGCACCCUAGAUUGAGACGUGACCCCAGGUCAAGCGGGGACACCCGCUGAGUUUAAGCAUAUAAAUAAAUGGAGGAAAAGAAACUUACGAGGAUUCCCCUAGUAACGGCGAGCAAAUC
rnacentral:rRNA from 1 species